rnacentral:rRNA from 1 species
UACAUGUGGGGCAAGCGUUGUUCGGAAUUACUGGGCAUAAAGGGUGCGUAGGCGGCUUGCUAAGUCACUGGUGAAAGUUUUCGGCCCAACCGGAAAUUGCCUGUGAUACUGGUGAGCUCGAGUGCGUGAGGGGUUGGGGGAACGAGCAGUGUAGCGGUGAAAUGCGUAGAUAUUGCUCGGAAGGCCGGAGCCGAAGGGGCCCAACUGGUACGCAACUGACGCUGAGGCACGAAAGCGUGGGGAGCAAACAGGAUUAGAAACCCGUGUACGCUCGA